rfam:Octopus bimaculoides Scaffold42101_contig_1, whole genome shotgun sequence.
CAAACGGCCCUUUUUAGGGCCAAUACAUCUUAUGUAAAGUUAUCUCU